ACUAUCCGUGCGGCCAGGCGGAGACCCGGAGGACCGAAGCUUCCGGACGACGAGGAACCGCCCAACAUGGCCUCGGAGAGUGGGAAGCUUUGGGGUGGCCGGUUUGUGGGUGCAGUGGACCCCAUCAUGGAGAAGUUCAACGCGUCCAUUGCCUACGACCGGCACCUUUGGGAGGUGGAUGUUCAAGGCAGCAAAGCCUACAGCAGGGGCCUGGAGAAGGCAGGGCUCCUCACCAAGGCCGAGAUGGACCAGAUACUCCAUGGCCUAGACAAGGUGGCUGAGGAGUGGGCCCAGGGCACCUUCAAACUGAACUCCAAUGAUGAGGACAUCCACACAGCCAAUGAGCGCCGCCUGAAGGAGCUCAUUGGUGAAACGGCAGGGAAGCUGCACACGGGACGGAGCCGGAAUGACCAGGUGGUCACGGACCUCAGGCUGUGGAUGCGGCAGACCUGCUCCACGCUCUCGGGCCUCCUCUGGGAGCUCAUUAGGACCAUGGUGGAUCGGGCAGAGGCGGAACGUGAUGUUCUCUUCCCGGGGUACACCCAUUUGCAGAGGGCCCAGCCCAUCCGCUGGAGCCACUGGAUUCUGAGCCACGCCGUGGCACUGACCCGAGACUCUGAGCGGCUGCUGGAGGUGCGGAAACGGAUCAAUGUCCUGCCCCUGGGGAGGUGGGUGAGGCUCCAGUGCCCCGAGGGCCUGGUGGGGGUGGCUGCUGCAUAGCCUUAGGGAUUGACAGAGCUGGGAAGUGCAGAGUGGGACAGAAAACCGCCUUAUCUGCUCAGCGGGGGACCCUGCAUGGAGCCCCAGCUCUCGCUAAGGUGGGGACGACCAAGCCAUUGAAUGUGUCUGAGCAGGGCCAGAGCCCUCCAGCAAGGCUCCUGGCAAGCCCAGCCUGCUGCCCUCAGCCUGACAUGUGGGAACAUGUGUCAGGAGACAAGUGUCCUGCACCCAGGGUGACUUAGUGCUUGGGGACAAGUGUUUUGUGGACACUUGGGGACAAGUAUUCUGUA
rnacentral:sRNA from 1 species